rnacentral:rRNA from 1 species
CCUACGGGAGGCAGCAGUGAGGAAUAUUGGUCAAUGGGCGUAAGCCUGAACCAGCCAAGUCGCGUGAGGGAUGAAGGUCCUAUGGAUCGUAAACCUCUUUUAUAAGGGAAUAAAGUGUGGGACGUGUCCCGUUUUGUAUGUACCUUAUGAAUAAGGAUCGGCUAACUCCGUGCCAGCAGCCGCGGUAAUACGGAGGAUCCGAGCGUUAUCCGGAUUUAUUGGGUUUAAAGGGUGCGUAGGCGGCUUUUUAAGUCAGUGGUGAAAGUGUGUGGCUCAACCGUAGAAUUGCCGUUGAAACUGGGAGGCUUGAGUAUGUUAGAGGCAGGCGGAAGGCGUGGUGUAGCGGUGAAAUGCUUAGAGAUCACGAAGAACCCCGAUUGCGAAGGCAGCCCGCCGGGCCAUGACUGACGCUGAUGCACGAAAGCGUGGGGAUCAAACAGGAUUAGAUACCCGAGUAGUC